AGAUCCCAUUUAAGGGCUGACCACCACUAAGGUAGCAUCUCUUUCAGGAGUUUGCUCCUUUGUGGAGUUCUUGUAUUGAGCCUUGAAAUCAGUGAGCACCUAUCUUGAAGGCCUCAGGGUUGGAGGAGGAACAGGAAUUAAGUUCUUCAGCUUUUGUUCUUCCUGAAUGUUCUUCCUGAAAGUCUUAUGAGGAUAACUUGUCUGCUGUUCCUGCUGAUGUUAUAGCAGGCGUCGACCCCCGGUCCACAAGCGGCAGCUGCUGGGAGAUAAAUUGCAGCCACCAGCAGAGGUCCCCCGCAGCUUGAAGCUGUCAGCGCAGCCAGAGGCUGGAGAGGGGGAGGCGAAGCUGGGGAGAACUCCUGCAGCACCUCGCAAAAUCAGAAAGAAGAGGGACAAGGGCCAGCCAUUGACAACAUUUACUCUUUGACAUUUCCAGCUUUGUCAGUGAUAUUUCGUAGGACUAUGAAAACCAAACAUAUAUUUUCCUCAUCAUAUUUGUGUAUGUACCUGCCUACCUACAUAGAAGAACAAUACCAUUCUCAUUAAAGUGCUGCUGGAUAUUGUGGUGAGAUGCAUCUUCCCAAGAUCUAUAGAUAUGCAGGUUGUAGACAGCAUCGUGCUGCCAGUCAAUGUUGUACAUGGAACAUGCAGGAGCACUUGCUUCUGCUCCACCUGGCUCAGGACCACUCAACAAGUGCGAGACUGGAAAUGCUAUACUAAAGAGGCCAGCAGAUUGAGAAUUCAAACGGAGAAAAAGAAAGAAUCACCAGCUAGACCUGGGGAGACGUUUGACAGCUGAAAACUCAAGAGUAGAGGUUUCGUACAUUUACUGACCCCUGCGGGCAGAGCUGAAUUUGGCAACAAAAAGAGGUAGGCCUCCUUGGGAAUGCAGCUGUUCCCAGUAGACUGUAUCAUGCCGUCUUCAAAGAACAGUAACAAUAUUGAUUUCCUCUACACUUCCAGAUGUGCUCCUUCCUUUAAACCAAAAGUUGUAAGCUCCCACUACCUGCUGCCACUGGGGAACUAAACCAUCUAACGCCCUGGAUGAAUAUUCCUUGACGGUGCUUUGGGAUGUAACUUUGAACCUCUAAUCUCAGGUGAGAUGAGAAAUACUUAAAAAUAUGAGUAAGAUAUGGUAGGUUUUCAUGCCUUCACUACUGUGUGAGAACUAAACCUUGCCAGCUUCUCACCAUGUUGAGCUGAAGUGCUUUUUAAGAACACCUAAAAGAGAUGUAAGCACUGGAUGCGUGAAUUUACAUCAUAGAUAUAUUACAGCCAUGCUUGUAUGAGCUGAUGGUGCUAAUGAAAGUGACUUCUGUUUAAUUUUUCCCAGUCUGUUGUGAAAUAGGGAAAACUCACUUAACAGAUGAUUAACGCUAUCUGAAACUACCCAUGUCUCAACCAUCUUUAAAGGAAGCAGACUAAAGACUCUUGUCUCUGCAUUGCUAGUGAUCAUCUGAAAACAAUAUGAUCUGAUCUGCACAGAACAGUGGCUUUUUCAACCACCUGAAAUUUACUUCAGUUCUCUAAAUGUGAGCCAACUUAAGGAGUAAACUCAAGCAAGUCUCUACCUUGGAUAAAAUAUAUACCCCUACCUCAGUCUUACAGGAUUAUAUAUCUUGUAUCAUAUAUAUUUCUUUUAUUUCAGCAUGGAAGAUGCAUGGCUUUGGAUAAUGACUGAAGUUUCUGCUGAUUUUGGAGUGUGCAUGCUGCUGUAACCUGCAGACUCUUUUGAUUCAUGAAAGCCAUUUCAACUGUAUAUUGCAUUUCCAUAUGAAAUACUACCUAACAUUUUCAGAGUGAACAAUAUCCAUUAUCUUUGUACAAAAGCAUUCAUCUUAGCUGAGAAGUGUGCAGGAAAAACCCUUCCAGCUGAGGAGUUAAUAAUGAAAAAGCCAUUGGCGUAAUUCUAGAUAGUUUUCUUUUUGCUUGCCUUCCUUUUGCCUUCCUUUUCCAGUUUAUAUCUUGCACAAAUGAAGAGGACAUCAUGAGCUGAACAUGUCUUUGACUGCUUGCAGAUACAAAAUGAAGCAGGAGUUAUCUGAGAAAGGGAAAUGAACCUUUAGUCAAGAGCUAUACCUGUCCAAAUCUUGCUUACUAACCACACGGUCAUUUCCUGAGAAGACUAACAAGAAAGAGGGAAGGAAUCGAGUAGCAUCUAGGUAUUUAAAAAACCACACAAAUUCUUACAGUGCUCUUGAGUUGAUGAAGCCUUUGAAGGAAGAAGCCAUCCAUUUAUUUUGUUUGCCUAUGUGUGUAACUCUUAGCCAAGAAAGGCCAUUGUGUACUUUCUUCUAUUUUAACUGGUAUAAGGCUGAAAAAAGCAGAAACUGCAGAUGUUUUCUCUCUCUAGGAAACCUGGAGAUUGACUGCUUUUAGAAUAUCUACAGGUGUUUUUGGUAAUGAUUAAAUUCUCACUGAGUCAUAUCUGUCCAGAAGUCAUACUGAGUAGUGACAAUGCACUCUGAUACUUUAGUUAAAAUAGUAAGCUGAUUUAAAAUAAUAGGGGACCAAGGACUGUUACAUAUGUGUAAAAGUUUUGUUGAUCCACGUGCCAAAACUGCAGUUCCCUACCUAGACCAUUUGGGGAAAUUGCCAUUGACAGGUUUCAUCAGUGUGUGGCAAAUUAUUUUAUCUCCUAUAUUCAAUGGGUGUAAUGCUAAGGCUAAUGUCAAAGAGCAAAACUUUGUCUGUGUUGUUACACUGGAACAUGUUUAUUAAAUGAAACUUUACUGGCUUCUUAAAAAUUUAAUUAAAAGACUGUUUGCAGA